rnacentral:misc_RNA from 1 species
GAUGAAGAACGCAGUGAAAUGCGAAAAGUAGUGUGAAUUGCAGAAUUCAGUGAAUCAUCGAAUCUUUGAACGCACAUUGCGCCCCUUGGUAUUCCAUGGGGCAUGCCUGUUCGAGCGUCAUUUGUACCUUCAAGCUUUGCUUGGUGUUGGGUGUUUGUCUCGCCUUUGCGUGUAGACUCGCCUUAAAAUAAUUGGCAGCCGGCGUAUUGAUUUCGGAGCGCAGUACAUCUCGCGCUUUGCACUCAUAACGACAGCGUCCAAAAGUACAUUUUACACUCUUGACCUCGGAUCAGGUAGGGAUACCCGCUGAACUUAAGCAUAUCAAUAACGGAGGA